CACAGCUUGGACAGCAUUUUGUGGAACAAAAUGGAUGCAAUUGGAUUAGAGGUGGCUUUGGACUUGUGUUCUUCUUCUACCUAUUCCCCUGAGAGUCCUGAACCACUGGCACAUGUGAUGGCAGAAUAUCUUCCUGUACAAGAGUCCCACCCUAUGCC